rnacentral:rRNA from 1 species
AUUGAACGCUGGCGGCAUGCUUUACACAUGCAAGUCGAAUGGUAACAGGCCGCAAGGUGCUGACGAGUGGCGAACGGGUGAGUAAUGCAUCGGAACGUGCCCAGUCGUGGGGGAUAACGCAGCGAAAGCUGUGCUAAUACCGCAUACGAUCUAUGGAUGAAAGCGGGGGACCGUAAGGCCUCGCGCGAUUGGAGCGGCCGAUGGCAGGUUAGGUAGUUGGUGGGGUAAAGGCCUACCAAGCCGAAGAUCUGUAGCUGGUCUGAGAGGACGACCAGCCACACUGGGACUGAGACACGGCACAGCCUCCUACGGGAGGCAGCAGUGGAGAAUUUUGGACAAUGGGCGCAAGCCUGAUCCAGCAAUGCCGCGUGCAGGAAGAAGGCCUUCGGGUUGUAAACUGCUUUUGCACGGAACGAAACGGUCUGGGUUAAUACCCUGGGCUAAUGACGGUACCGUAAGAAUAAGCACCGGCUAACUACGUGCCAGCCGCCGCCGUAAGAC